rnacentral:rRNA from 2 species
GGGAGCUUGCUCCCGGAUGUUAGCGGCGGACGGGUGAGUAACACGUGGGUAACCUGCCUGUAAGACUGGGAUAACUCCGGGAAACCGGAGCUAAUACCGGAUAGUUCCUUGAACCGCAUGGUUCAAGGAUGAAAGACGGUUUCGGCUGUCACUUACAGAUGGACCCGCGGCGCAUUAGCUAGUUGGUGAGGUAACGGCUCACCAAGGCGACGAUGCGUAGCCGACCUGAGAGGGUGAUCGGCCACACUGGGACUGAGACACGGCCCAGACUCCUACGGGAGGCAGCAGUAGGGAAUCUUCCGCAAUGGACGAAAGUCUGACGGAGCAACGCCGCGUGAGUGAUGAAGGUUUUCGGAUCGUAAAGCUCUGUUGUUAGGGAAGAACAAGUGCAAGAGUAACUGCUUGCACCUUGACGGUACCUAACCAGAAAGCCACGGCUAACUACGUGCCAGCAGCCGCGGUAAUACGUAUGUGGCAAGCGUUGUCCGGAAUUAUUGGGCGUAAAGGGCUCGCAGGCGGUUUCUUAAGUCUGAUGUGAAAGCCCCCGGCUCAACCGGGGAGGGUCAUUGGAAACUGGGAAACUUGAGUGCAGAAGAGGAGAGUGGAAUUCCACGUGUAGCGGUGAAAUGCGUAGAGAUGUGGAGGAACACCAGUGGCGAAGGCGACUCUCUGGUCUGUAACUGACGCUGAGGAGCGAAAGCGUGGGGAGCGAACAGGAUUAGAUACCCUGGUAGUCCACGCCGUAAACGAUGAGUGCUAAGUGUUAGGGGGUUUCCGCCCCUUAGUGCUGCAGCUAACGCAUUAAGCACUCCGCCUGGGGAGUACGGUCGCAAGACUGAAACUCAAAGGAAUUGACGGGGGCCCGCACAAGCGGUGGAGCAUGUGGUUUAAUUCGAAGCAACGCGAAGAACCUUACCAGGUCUUGACAUCCUCUGACAACCCUAGAGAUAGGGCUUUCCCUUCGGGGACAGAGUGACAGGUGGUGCAUGGUUGUCGUCAGCUCGUGUCGUGAGAUGUUGGGUUAAGUCCCGCAACGAGCGCAACCCUUGAUCUUAGUUGCCAGCAUUCAGUUGGGCACUCUAAGGUGACUGCCGGUGACAAACCGGAGGAAGGUGGGGAUGACGUCAAAUCAUCAUGCCCCUUAUGACCUGGGCUACACACGUGCUACAAUGGACAGAACAAAGGGCUGCGAGACCGCAAGGUUUAGCCAAUCCCACAAAU